UACGUAGGGGGCAAGCGUUGUCCGGAAUCAUUGGGCGUAAAGCGCGUGUAGGCGGUCCGGUAAGUCGGCUGUGAAAGUCCAGGGCUCAACCCUGGGAUGCCGGUCGAUACUGCCGGACUAGAGUUCGGAAGAGGCGAGCGGAAUUCCUGGUGUAGCGGUGGAAUGCGUAGAUAUCAGGAAGAACACCGGUGGCGAAGGCGGCUCGCUGGGCCAGAUCCGACACUCAUCCGCGAAAGCGUGGGGAGCAAACAGG
rnacentral:rRNA from 1 species